AAGUAAAAAAAGACUGCUGUCUGUCUGCUCUUAUAAAAAAAUCAAGUUCUAUCAAAACGUAUACAGCGUUUCAGGAAGGGACAGAACAAGAAAAUCGAACCCAACAAAGUCUGCAUUAUUUACACAUAUAUAGAUGUAUAGAAUUUGAAACCCUAAUCUGCACAAAUUUCCACAUCGGGACCAGAAGAGGGGUGAAGCCUUCGGAGCCUGCACGUCCAUAUAAAUCGAUAGAUAGAUGAAGGAUCUGGAUGCGCUCCGGCGAUGCGACAAAGCAGGCGCCACACCGACCAUCGCGUGACGCUCUCGUGGGCCGAAUCGCGCCGCCCCCGAGAUUGAAUCUGCAGUGGAUGGGAGCUGUUAUCUCGCUGGGGAACUGAAGUUUUCUCCUCGUGCCUUGCUCGAACCAAACCAGUGGUGUCAACUUUGCGGUGGCAUGAUCUGAUUGAUAGUGCUUACAAUCAAGACUUGAUUGUAACGCAGAGCAAAGUAACCGUGAUUGCGCCGGAACCGUGGCCCUUGAUCGUCUACCUUUGAAUGACGGUAUUGUUGGGGUUGGGUUGGGUUGGGGUGCAGUCUGUAGACGUCUAUCAUGGGUCGAUAUACCUACCGUUGCGUGUCAUUGGAGUCUGAUUGAAAGAGGCUGCAAGUUGCUCUUGGCUGGCUUGAAUGUCUCCUUCGACAAACAGCCGUAGCGUCACAACUGGCACCCUCAUUAGAAGAACCUGAUCGUCAGAAAGAGUAAUAUUGGCGUCUUGCGAGUAACCUAUCAGGAGAACUGAAGCUGAACUGAAGCGAAACAGAGCAGAUUUCAACUUGAAAAACUUGAGAGUGAGAACGGUGUAGCUAUAGAUUCAUGUGCGUGUGAUUAGAGUCAUGUAUUUAGGGGACUUGUAAUUCAAGACUAUUGUGCUGUGUUUUGUCUUAUUGCAGAAUGAUGUGAUAGAACUUAUUCCUUAACUUUUGUGAUUUAACAUCUGGUUUUAUAAUUCGUUGAUAUGGUUAACAUAAUGCCUAACGUAAAGCUGUGAAAUGAAGUUCCUACAUCAUGUUGCUCUUGUCUUGUGUACAACUUCAAUCUCAUUAUCCUGUGAACUGGGCUACGUGUACUUGAUACCAAUAGAUCCAAACCAUUUCUUUCUUUUUGUAUCUAUUACUUUCCGAGAAAGCUAACAGUAUCACCAUCUACUUUUAUUUUUAUUUUGUUUUUAUUACAAUUAUAAUUGUGGAGGUGUUUGAACUUGCAGCUAGCUCAAAGAAAAGAUAGUAUUAUGUACGCAUUAUAAUAUGUCGAAUGAUUUUACUAUCCAAGGCCCCAGAACACAGGUUUCCAUAUAGAGGCUGUGUGCGUAGUAAGGUCGUAUGAAGUCUUGGAGACGCUCUCGUCUGCAGAACAUUUGGAUUGUCAAACGACGGCGGAGGACCAUACGCCUUCUUAAAUCAAAGAUUGUGAACAGUUGAGACAAAUGCUCAGACCCAGUACUGUUGAAUCUAAUGUCACGAGUGAGCUAAGCAGGCUAGAAACUAUGACAGACAAUAGACAUCAAGCAACUUCUGGUAUUGUUCACAUGUUCAUAGUUUCUCACAAUGACAGGCUUAGGGCUCAAUGAUGUCUCCCCGGCUGCAUAAGCUCGACUUUUAAAAUGAGUCUUCUCACAACGUCGUAAAGUCCAUCGUCACCAGUAGCAAGGGUCCGACUGUGCCACAAGGACUUAGUGCAGAUCGAACAAGAGAGGUCAUUGAAACGACACAAGGAGAGCUUAUCAGAGAGGUGCACUAUUGGCCAGUGAAGAAUUGGACACUUGGCUACGGAACAGUAGCAAAAAUGAAGAGCUUCAAGCAUAGCAGAGGUGCAAGUUGAGGAGCAAACCAGUGUCAAAAAAAGCCAGUGCAGAGAUUGAAGAAUCGAAGGAGGUGAUUCAAUGUGUUAAUUUCUCUCCAGAAUACAUCUGAAUUGAAGACAGAGCUGAAAGGACUCAAGGAGUAUGUGGAUGCUAACCUAGAUGUACCCUAUUAUUUGGCAAUACUACACCAUAUAUUUAGUUGUUAAUCUAUCUCCUGUUACCUCGCGACACAUCCAACAUAGAGUUAUAGUCAGAAACUAACAUAUGUUUUGAAAGUAGGACCUGACGAUGUAAUGUCUAACAAGACACUUGGUAUGCAAUAAUGCUCAACGAUCUACCCUUAAACCAAAGAUAGAUCUUUAGACUCAA